rnacentral:rRNA from 1 species
UACGUAGGGUGCGAGCGUUAAUCGGAAUUACUGGGCGUAAAGCGUGCGCAGGCGGUUCGUGAUGUCUGGUGUGAAAGCCCCGGGCUUAACCUGGGAAUUGCAUUGGAAACUAGCGGGCUGGAGUGUGGCAGAGGGGGGUAGAAUUCCACGUGUAGCAGUGAAAUGCGUAGAGAUGUGGAGGAAUACCGAUGGCGAAGGCAGCCCCCUGGGAUAACACUGACGCUCAGGCACGAAAGCGUGGGGAGCAAACAGG